UGGUGGGGUAAAGGCUCACCAAGGCGACGAUCCCUAGCUGGUUUGAGAGGAUGAUCAGCCACACUGGAACUGAGACACGGUCCAGACUCCUACGGGAGGCAGCAGUGGGGAAUAUUGCACAAUGGGCGCAAGCCUGAUGCAGCCAUGCCGCGUGUGUGAAGAAGGCCUUCGGGUUGUAAAGCACUUUCAGCCGUGAGGAAGGCAUUGUACUUAAUACGUGCAGUGUUUGACGUUAGCGGCAGAAGAAGCACCGGCUAACUCCGUGCCAGCAGCCGCGGUAAUACGGAGGGUGCGAGCGUUAAUCGGAAUUACUGGGCGUAAAGCGCAUGCAGGCGGUCUGUUAAGCAAGAUGUGAAAGCCCCGGGCUUAACCUGGGAACCGCAUUUUGAACUGGCAGGCUAGAGUCUUGUAGAGGGGGGUAGAAUUUCAGGUGUAGCGGUGAAAUGCGUAGAGAUCUGAAGG
rnacentral:rRNA from 1 species